rnacentral:rRNA from 1 species
UGGGGAAUCUUGCACAAUGGGGGAAACCCUGAUGCAGCGACGCCGCGUGAGCGAUGAAGCCCCUCGGGGUGUAAAGCUCUUUCGGCAGGGAAGAUUAUGACGGUACCUGCAAAAGCAGCUGCGGCUAACUACGUGCCAGCAGCCGCGGUAAUACGUAGGCAGCAAGCGUUGUUCGGAGUUACUGGGCGUAAAGGGUGCGUAGGCGGCUUUUUAAGUUUGGUGUGAAAUCUCCCGGCUCAACUGGGAGGGUGCGCCGAAUACUGAGAGGCUAGAGUGUGGGAGAGGAAAGUGGAAUUCCUGGUGUAGCGGUGAAAUGCGUAGAUAUCAGGAGGAACACCGGUGGUGUAAACGGCUUUCUGGACCAUAACUGACGCUGAGGCACGAAAGCGUGGGUAGCAAACAGGAUUAGAUACCCCCGUAGUCC